rnacentral:rRNA from 1 species
UACGUAGGGGGCAAGCGUUGUCCGGAUUUAUUGGGCGUAAAGAGCGUGUAGGCGGCCAUGCAGGUCAGCUGUGAAAACUCGAGGCUCAACCUCGAGACGUCGGUUGAAACCGUAUGGCUAGAGUCCGGAAGAGGAGAGUGGAAUUCCCGGUGUAGCGGUGAAAUGCGCAGAUAUCAGGAAGAACACCUAGGGCGAAGGCAGCUCUCUGGGACGGUACUGACGCUGAGACGCGAAAGCGUGGGGAGCGAACAGG